GAUGAACGCUGGCGGCGUGCCUAAUACAUGCAAGUCGAGCGAACGGACGAGAAGCUUGCUUCUCUGAUGUUAGCGGCGGACGGGUGAGUAACACGUGGAUAACCUACCUAUAAGACUGGGAUAACUUCGGGAAACCGGAGCUAAUACCGGAUAAUAUUUUGAACCGCAUGGUUCAAAAGUAAAAGACGGUCUUGCUGUCACUUAUAGAUGGAUCCGCGCUGCAUUAGCUAGUUGGUAAGGUAACGGCUUACCAAGGCAACGAUGCAUAGCCGACCUGAGAGGGUGAUCGGCCACACUGGAACUGAGACACGGUCCAGACUCCUACGGGAGGCAGCAGUAGGGAAUCUUCCGCAAUGGGCGAAAGCCUGACGGAGCAACGCCGCGUGAGUGAUGAAGGUCUUCGGAUCGUAAAACUCUGUUAUUAGGGAAGAAUAUAUGUGUAAGUAACUGUGCACAUCUUGACGGUACCUAAUCAGAAAGCCUCGGCUAACUACGUGCCAGCAGCCGCGGUAAUACGUAGGUGGCAAGCGUUAUCCCGAAUUAUUGGGCGUAAAGCGCGCGUAGGCGGUUUUUUAGUCUGAUGUGAAAGCCCACGGCUCAACCGUGGAGGGUCAUUGGAAACUGGAAAACUUGAGUGCAGAAGAGGAAAGUGGAAUUCCAUGUGUAGCGGUGAAAUGCGCAGAGAUAUGGAGGAACACCAGUGGCGAAGGCGACUUUCUGGUCUGUAACUGACGCUGAUGUGCGAAAGCGUGGGGAUCAAACAGGAUUAGAUACCCUGGUAGUCCACGCCGUAAACGAUGAGUGCUAAGUGUUAGGGGGUUUCCGCCCCUUAGUGCUGCAGCUAACGCAUUAAGCACUCCGCCUGGGGAGUACGACCGCAAGGUUGAAACUCAAAGGAAUUGACGGGGACCCGCACAAGCGGUGGAGCAUGUGGUUUAAUUCGAAGCAACGCGAAGAACCUUACCAAAUCUUGACAUCCUUUGACAACUCUAGAGAUAGAGCCUUCCCCUUCGGGGGACAAAGUGACAGGUGGUGCAUGGUUGUCGUCAGCUCGUGUCGUGAGGUGUUGGGUUAAGUCCCGCAACGAGCGCAACCCUUAAGCUUAGUUGCCAUCAUUAAGUUGGGCACUCUAAGUUGACUGCCGGUGACAAACCGGAGGAAGGUGGGGAUGACGUCAAAUCAUCAUGCCCCUUAUGAUUUGGGCUACACACGUGCUACAAUGGACAAUACAAAGGGCAGCGAAACCGCGAGGUCAAGCAAAUCCCAUAAAGUUGUUCUCAGUUCGGAUUGUAGUCUGCAACUCGACUACAUGAAGCUGGAAUCGCUAGUAAUCGUAGAUCAGCAUGCUACGGUGAAUACGUUCCCCGGGUCU
rnacentral:rRNA from 1 species